rnacentral:rRNA from 1 species
GACGAACGCUGGCGGCGUGCUUAACACAUGCAAGUCGAACGGAAAGGCCCUGCUUUUGUGGGGUGCUCGAGUGGCGAACGGGUGAGUAACACGUGAGUAACCUGCCCCUGACUUUGGGAUAACUUCAGGAAACUGGGGCUAAUACCGGAUAGGAGCUCCUGCUGCAUGGUGGGGGUUGGAAAGUUUCGGCGGUUGGGGAUGGACUCGCGGCUUAUCAGCUUGUUGGUGGGGUAGUGGCUUACCAAGGCUUUGACGGGUAGCCGGCCUGAGAGGGUGACCGGCCACAUUGGGACUGAGAUACGGCCCAGACUCCUACGGGAGGCAGCAGUGGGGAAUAUUGCACAAUGGGCGGAAGCCUGAUGCAGCAACGCCGCGUGCGGGAGGACGGCCUUCGGGUGGUAAACCGCUUUCGCCUGUGACGAAGCGUGAGUGACGGUAAUGGGUAAAGAAGCACCGGCUAACUACGU